UACGUAGGCAGCAAGCGUUGUUCGGAAUUAUUGGGCGUAAAGAGCUCGUAGGCGGCUUGUCGCGUCGGCUGUGAAAACCUGGGGCUCAACCCCGGGCCUGCAGCCGAUACGGGCAAGCUAGAAUUCGGUAGGGGAGACUGGAGUUCCUGGUGUAGCGGUGAAAUGCGCAGAUAUCAGGAGGAACACCGGUGGCGAAGGCGGGUCUCUGGGCCGAUAUUGACGCUGAGGAGCGAAAGCGUGGGGAGCAAACAGG
rnacentral:rRNA from 1 species